CCUACCACUAAUCUUUUUCCCUACCACUACUCCUACCUCUCCACCACACUACUCCUUUUCCCCCACCACUACAUUCUUUCUCCCACUCUCACAACUUUUCUCCCACCAUUAUCACACUCCAUAGAAGCCUUUGAAGCCCCAAGAGAAGUAGCAAAGCAAGGGAGAGUGUGGGAAAACUAUAGAGUGAAGGUUGUGCUUCGAGGGUCCGGGCGACAGAAAGUGAAGCCGAAGAAGAAACGACUCCACGCCAGCUUUAAGAACAAUUGAGGUUGAGCAGGCGAUGGAAUGGAUCGGUGUUGAGCGGAUUUCCCUUUUGAUGUUUAUGUAAUGAAACCUUGAGUAUGCAUCUUCAUAUGCAUAACUCACACGUUUUUUUCGCUGCAAACACUCUGACUUAUUUAUCAUUUCUACUUGAACUUAUUACUACUUCAUUUUAAUUAACUUUCAGUUGGGGUCUAGUCGUUAUGGCAGACUCAUUUGUGAAUUACCCAAGUGGUUAUAUAUAUAUACCACUAGUUUGUUAUUAA